GCACUGGCGGUUCAGUGGUAGAAUUCUCGCCUUCCAGGUGGGAGGCCCAGGUUCGAUUCCUGGCCAAUGCA
rnacentral:tRNA from 1 species